rnacentral:rRNA from 1 species
UACGUAGGGCGCAAGCGUUGUCCGGAAUUAUUGGGCGUAAAGAGCUCGUAAGCGGUCUGUCGCGUCGGAUGUGAAAGCCCGGGGCUUAACCCCGGGUCUGCAUUCGAUACGGGCAGACUAGAGUGUGGUAGGGGAGAUCGGAAUUCCUGGUGUAGCGGUGAAAUGCGCAGAUAUCAGGAGGAACACCGGUGGCGAAGGCGGUUCUCUGGGCAUGUCCUGACGCUGAGGAGCGAAAGUGUGGGGAGCGAACAGG